CCCGCACAGGCAGCGGAGCGUGUGGUUUAAUUCGAUGUUACACGAAGAACCUUACCAGGGUUUGACAUGCAAGUGGUAGGAAGCCGAAAGGUGACCGACCCUUCGGGGAGCUUGCACAGGUGCUGCAUGGCUGUCGUCAGCUCGUGUCGUGAGAUGUUCGGUUAAGUCCGCUAACGAGCGCAACCCUCGCUGUGUGUUAUAUGUGUCACACGGGACUGCCGGUCUUAAGCCGGAGGAAGGUGGGGAUGAUGUCAAGUCAGCAUGGCCUUUAUAUCCUGGGCUACACACACGCUACAAUGGCCAACACAAUAGGUUGCUAAGCCGCGAGGUGGCGCCAAUCCAUAAAGUUGGUCUCAGUUCAGAUUGUAGGCUGCAACCCGCCUGCAUGAAGAUGGAGUUGCUAGUAACCGCAGGUCAGCUAUACUGCGGUGAAUACGUUCCCGGGGCUU
rnacentral:rRNA from 1 species